UACGUAGGGUGCGAGCGUUUAAUCGGAAUUACUGGGCGUAAAGCGUGCGCAGGCGGUUUUGUAAGCCAGAUGUGAAAUCCCCGGGCUUAACCUGGGAAUGGCAUUUGGGACUGCAAGGCUUGAGUGUGGCAGAGGAGACUGGAAUUCCUGGUGUAGCAGUGAAAUGCGUAGAUAUCAGGAGGAACACCGAUGGCGAAGGCAGGUCUCUGGGCUAACACUGACGCUCAUGCACGAAAGCGUGGG
rnacentral:rRNA from 1 species